GGUCGGAGCAGCGUUUCCCAGCGCGGAGCGGCGGCAGCUCCGCACCCCCGAGAGGGGGAAUCGUUGGGAGCCGCCUCGACCGCCGCCGCCCGAGGGGAGCGCUCCGGCUCCGGCACCUCGGUACCUCCCGCCCGGGGGCUCCGCGCCCGCUGCUCCGGCGCGGAAACGCGGGGCUGGAAAUGGGUCACCGCCGCGGAAAAUACUUUGAAAACACAACUCGGGGAUAAUCAGACAGCGGGGUUUAAUUAGGGCCGCGGGCUGAUCGCCGCGCAUUUUAUUCCCAGCCCGUAUCGCGCGGGGGGAGGGGUGCGGCUGCUGCCCGGCCACAUCUGGCCUACAGACCCUCUCCCUGCGCCUCGUGAUCGCGUUUGGCGAAACCCGAUCUACGUGGUUCAAAUACCUUCCAAAUUGGGGGCGAUUUAACAAUCGCGUCCAAUUAAACCUAGGGAAGAAAAGGAGGAGGAAAAAAAAAUAAUAAUAAAAUAAAGAAAAUCCCCUCCUUCCCGCUCCCCCGCCCAGGGCUCGCACACUAUCUGUUGCUCUCACGGCGGCAGCGGGUGGGGGCGGGCGGACGGGCUCACACUCGUGCUCCCACUCGCGCUCCCCGCACGCCCCGCGCACCAUUGUUCCUGCCCGCCCGCCCCGCUUUAUUUGGGUGUUUUGUUCGCUCCCCGGCGCGGAACUCCGCGCGCCCGCCCGCGCUGGAGCGGCACAUUCAUUAUCGGCCGGGGGCUGAUUUCAAACCGCUGCCAUCGCGGCUCCAUUGUUCGCCGGGCGGCCAGGCCCCGCCCCCCUUUGUGUGGCGCGGCGGCGAUUGGCCGGCGCCGGGCGGAGGGCUGCCGUCACCGCUCGGGAAGCCCAUUCAUCUGUGCACUUGGGCGUUGGACUCCGCAUCUUAUUAGCAACCAGGGAGAUUUCUCCAUUUUCUCCUUGUCUACAUUUCUUUGUUGAAUAAGCCAGCAUGGGUGCCCAGUUCUCCAAGACCGCUGCGAAGGGCGAAGCCGCCGCCGAGAAGCCCGGGGAAGCGGUGGCCGCGUCUCCCUCCAAGGCGAAUGGACAGGUAAAAAAAAAAAAAAAAAAAAAAAAAAAGAUUCCAAAAAAUUAAACCUACUCCUUUUUUUAAGCCGACUUCGACGGACUCUCUUUUGCAUCCUGUCUAAUUCCUCUUCCUUUGAUACCCCGGUGGCACGUUCAAUGGAGAAUACGGGCAAUCUUUUAUCUUUGCGACUCAAGGCAAAGGGAUCCUUUCUUUAUUUUUUAAAUACGGGUUUGGCUUUGAGUGAUUCUUUCUUUGAAUGAUUAUCUUUCCUGCGUCGGGGGGAGCGGGGCCAUUUUUUGAUAUAUUUUUUUUAUAAAGAAAGACAAAUCCCUCGUGUCUUGCGAGCGUCCCGAUGGCUUCUAAACGGAAGGACCUUAUAUCGCUCGGCUUUUCCGCCCGCUUCACCUCCUUCCGACGGCGCCGGGCGAGGGGCGCGAAGCCUCUGCGGGUGGAGGCGCGGUGCCAUCGGGACUGGGGCUCGGCAGCUCUCCCCAGGGCCGGGUCCCCCGCCGCCCCCUCCCCGCCGCACGCCGCCCGGCUGUCGGGCUGCCCCCU
rnacentral:lncRNA from 1 species